rnacentral:rRNA from 1 species
AUUGAACGCUGGCGGCGGGCCUAAUACAUGCAAGUCGAGCGGAAACAGAAAGCGGUUUGCUGUCUUGCUUAAGCGUCGGGCGUGUGAGUAAACUGUGUGGGACCGACCUUGAAGGCUGGGUUAACUUCGGGAAACCGGUAGUAAUACCGGAAAAUCGAUGCAACAACAUAGUUCCAUAGUUAAGGACGUUUUUGCUGCGACUGAUACAUGGUUCCGCGCCGCAUUAGCUAGUUGGUAAGGUAACGGCUUACCAAGGCAACGAUGCGUAGCCGACCUGAGAGGGUGAUCGGCCACACUGGAACUGAGACACGGUCCAGACUCCUACGGGAGGCAGCAGUAGGGAAUAUUCCGCAAUGGGCGAAAGCCUGACGGAGCCACGCCGCGUGAGUGAUGAAGGUCUUCGGAUCGUAAAACUCUGUUAUUAGGGAAGAACAAAUGUGUAAGUAACUAUGCACGCAUUGACGGUACCUACACAGAAAGCCACGGCUAACUACGUG